UUCUCUCUUUUUUUUCCUACCACCGUUCUGUCUAUUUCACUCUCUCUACCCUUUCUCAUUCUCAUUCUCUCUUUUUUUUUCCUACCACCAUUCGAAGACGAUGCCUUGGUGUUGUUGUUCUCCAAAUGCCGGAUGAAAAUAAGGGAAAUGCCGGACGAAAAACUCAAAGGUUAUGCUUCGUUUUCCUUCUUCAUGUGCUUUUUUUCGAUUUUUUUUCACAGCAUGUUCAUUGUUUCUUCUAAAGCUACAUUUUUUUUCCUACCACCGUUCGAAGACGAUGCCUUGGUGUUGUUGUUCUCCAAAUGCCGGAUGGAAAUGACGGAGAUGCCGAACGAAAAACUCAAAGGCUAAAGAUUGACCAGUAAUUCAAUUAGGCCAAGAAAAACUACUUCAAUGGGAUCACUCAACAGUUCCUCACAAAAUACUUUUUACCUGUUUAGUGAAUCUGUAAAAUAGGACAUUUGUGUUGUAAUUCUAAUUUCAAGUUUGUUUUUAAUAAGCAUCUGAAUCUUUUGUAUAUAAAUUGUUCAGAUCACUCAUAAAAAUAUUCACAGCCUAGAUCCUGUGUUGUAAUUACAACAACCAGUUUUACCAAUGAAUAUUUACUUUUUAUUUUCUA